UACGGAGGGUGCAAGCGUUAUCCGGAUUCACUGGGCUUAAAGGGUGCGUAGGUGGUCAAGUAAGUCAGUGGUGAAAUCUCCGGGCUUAACCCGGAAACUGCCAUUGAUACUAUUUGUCUUGAGUACUGUGGAGGUCAGCGGAAUAUGUCAUGUAGCGGUGAAAUGCUUAGAUAUGACAUAGAACACCAAUUGCGAAGGCAGCUGGCUACACAAAUAUUGACACUGAGGCACGAAAGCGUGGGGAGCAAACAGG
rnacentral:rRNA from 1 species